GUGAGUGGCGAACGGGUGAGUAACACGUGGACAACCUGCCUCAGGCUGGGGAUAACAUUUGGAAACAGAUGCUAAUACCGAAUAAAACUCAGUGUCGCAGGACACAAAGUUAAAAGGCGCUUUGGCGUCACCUAGAGAUGGAUCCGCGGUGCAUUAGUUAGUUGGUGGGGUAAAGGCCUACCAAGACAAUGAUGCAUAGCCGAGUUGAGAGACUGAUCGGCCACAUUGGGACUGAGACACGGCCCAAACUCCUACGGGAGGCUGCAGUAGGGAAUCUUCCACAAUGGGCGAAAGCCUGAUGGAGCAACGCCGCGUGUGUGAUGAAGGCUUUCGGGUCGUAAAGCACUGUUGUAUGGGAAGAACAGCUAGAAUAGGGAAUGAUUUUAGUUUGACGGUACCAUACCAAAAAGGGACGGCUAAAUACGUGCCAGCAGCCGCGGUAAUACGUGUGUCCCGAGCGUUAUCCGGAUUUAUUGGGGCGUAAAGCGAGCGCAAACGGUUGAUUAAGUCUGAUGUGAAAGCCCCGGAGCUCAACUCC
rnacentral:rRNA from 1 species